rnacentral:rRNA from 1 species
AACGAACGCUGGCGGUAUGCUUAACACAUGCAAGUCGAACGCACAAAAUUGGGGCUUGCUCCAAUUUUAGUGAGUGGCAAACGGGUGAGUAACACGUGGGAAUCUACCUAUAAGUACGGAAUAACAUUUGGAAACAGAUGCUAAUACCGUAUAUUCUCCAAGGAGGAACGUUUUAUCGCUGAUAGAUGAGCCCGCGCAAGAUUAGGUAGUUGGUAGGGUAAUGGCCUACCACGCCGACGAUCUUUAGCUGGUCUGAGAGGAUGAUCAGCCACACUGGGACUGAGACACGGCCCAGACUCCGACGGGAGGCAGCAGGGGGGAAUAUGGGACAAUGGGCGAAAGCCUGAUCCAGCAAUACCGCGUGAAUGAUGAAGGCCUAGGGUUGGAAAGUUCUUUUAGUUGGAAAGAUAAUGACGGUACCAACAGAAAAAGCCCCGGCUAACUCCGUGCCAGCCGCCGCCGUAA